UUCUUUUUGUGAAAAGUAAAGCCUGCCCACUGAGUCUUGAAGGGCCGCGGUAUAUUGACCGUGCUAAGGUAGCAUAAUCAUUAGCUUCUUAAUUAGAGGAUGGAAUGAAUGGCUUUACAGAUAAGAGCUUUAUUAAGAUUAUGUUAUGAAUUUAAAUUUUAAAUGAAAAUGUUUAAAUAGGGUGAUUAGACGAUAAGACCCUUUAGAGUUUGAUGUUAAUUAGUUUAGUAAUAUUGGUUUUUAUUGGGGCAAUAAAAGAAUAAAUUAAACUUCUAAAUAAUUACCUAAGGGAUAACAGCGUUAUAUUUUUGAAGAGUUCUUAUCGAUAAAAUUGUUUGCGACCUCGAUGUUGAAUUAAAAAUCUUUGCAGGGGCAGUACUUUGUAUAAGUAGUCUGUUCGACUAUAAAAAUUUU
rnacentral:rRNA from 1 species